GACGAACGCUGGCGGCGCGCCUAACACAUGCAAGUCGAACGAGCGAGAGAGAGCUUGCUUUCUCGAGCGAGUGGCGAACGGGUGAGUAACGCGUGAGGAACCUGCCUCAAAGAGGGGGACAACAGUUGGAAACGACUGCUAAUACCGCAUAAGCCCACGGGUCGGCAUCGACCAGAGGGAAAAGGAGCAAUCCGCUUUGAGAUGGCCUCGCGUCCGAUUAGCUAGUUGGUGAGGUAACGGCCCACCAAGGCGACGAUCGGUAGCCGGACUGAGAGGUUGAACGGCCACAUUGGGACUGAGACACGGCCCAGACUCCUACGGGAGGCAGCAGUGGGGAAUAUUGCACAAUGGGGGAAACCCUGAUGCAGCGACGCCGCGUGGAGGAAGAAGGUCUUCGGAUUGUAAACUCCUGUUGUUGAGGAAGAUAAUGACGGUAC
rnacentral:rRNA from 1 species